AGCAAUCAGCUAGUGACUAGGCCAACAAAGAAGACCAACUGGGCACCUUCCGUAUGGUGCAAAGGAAGGCAUCAGAUGGUUCAUGAUACCAGCUGGAAUCCAACACCACCAAGGCAGCAGAUGCCAUAUGCUUCCCAGGUAGCAGGUGAUGCCCUUUAA
rnacentral:rRNA from 1 species